rnacentral:rRNA from 1 species
UACGAAGGGGGCUAGCGUUGCUCGGAAUCACUGGGCGUAAAGCGCACGUAGGCGGCUUCUUAAGUCAGGGGUGAAGUCCUGGAGCUCAACUCCAGAACUGCCUUUGAUACUGAGGAGCUUGAGACCGGGAGAGGUGAGUGGAAUUCCCAGUGUAGCGGUGAAAUGCGUAGAUAUUGGGAGGAACACCAGUGGCGAAGGCGGCUCACUGGACCGGUACUGACGCUGAUGCGCGAAAGCGUGGGGAGCAAACGGG